rnacentral:rRNA from 1 species
UGGGGAAUAUUUGGCAAUGGGUGAAAGCCUGACCAAGCAAUGCCGCAUGAAGGAUGAAGGCCCUCGGGUCGUAAACUUCUUUUCUCAUUGAAGAAUUAUUGACGGUAUUUGAGGAAUAAGCAUCGGCUAACUUCGUGCCAGCAGCCGCGGUAAUACGAGGGAUGCAAGCGUUAUCCGGAAUUAUUGGGCGUAAAGCGUCUGUAGAUGGUUUAUUAAGUUUAUUGUUAAAUACUAGAGCUUAACUCUUGACCGGCAUUAAAAACUGAUAGACUAGAGUACAAUAGAGGUAAAGGGAAUUUCCAGUGUAGUGGUGAAAUACGUAGAGAUUGGAGAGAACACCAAUGGCGAAAGCACUUUGCUAGGUUGAUACUGACAUUGAGAGACGAAAGCUAGGGGAGCG